CGGCGGACGGGUGAGUAACGCGUGGGUAACCUACCCUGUACACACGGAUAACAUACCGAAAGGUAUGCUAAUACGGGAUAAUAUAUUUGAGAGGCAUCUCUUGAAUAUCAAAGGUGAGCCAGUACAGGAUGGACCCGCGUCUGAUUAGCUAGUUGGUAAGGUAACGGCUUACCAAGGCGACGAUCAGUAGCUGACCUGAGAGGGUGAUCGGCCACAUUGGAACUGGGACACGGUCCAA
rnacentral:rRNA from 1 species